rnacentral:rRNA from 1 species
UACGUAGGGUGCGAGCGUUAAUCGGAAUGACUGGGCGUAAAGGGUGCGCAGGCGGCUGGUCAAGACGGAUGUGAAAGCCCCGGGCUUAACCUGGGAGUGUCAUUCGUGACUGACGAACUAGAAUAUGGCAGAGGGAGGCGGAAUUCCACAUGUAGCAGUGAAAUGCGUAGAGAUGUGGAGGAACACCGAUGGCGAAGGCAGCCUUCUGGGCUAAUAUUGACGCUCAGGCACGAAAGCGUGGGGAGCAAACAGG